rnacentral:rRNA from 1 species
ACGCUCGACACCUACGGGAGGCAGCAGUCGGGAAUAUUGCGCAAUGGAGGAAACUCUGACGCAGUGACGCCGCGUAUAGGAAGAAGGUUUUCGGAUUGUAAACUAUUGUCGUUAGGGAAGAUACAAGACAGUACCUAAGGAGGAAGCACCGGCUAACUAUGUGCCAACAGCCGCGGUAAUCUGAGCGGGCUGGCAAGGC